rnacentral:tRNA from 1 species
GCUAGUGGCACAAUGGUUGAGCAUUCAGCUGCUAACCGAAAAGUUGGUGGUUCAAAUUCACUAGCA